rnacentral:rRNA from 1 species
UACGAAGGGGGCGAGCGUUGUUCGGAUUUACUGGGCGUAAAGGGCGCGUAGGCGGCCCUCCUUGUCGCGUGUGAAAGCCCCGGGCUCAACCUGGGAAUUGCGCGCGAAACGGGAGGGCUUGAGUUCGGGAGAGGAGCAUGGAAUUCCCGGUGUAGAGGUGAAAUCCGUAGAUAUUGGGAAGAACACCGGUGGCGAAGGCGGCGCUCUGGACCGAGACUGACGCUGAGGCGCGAAAGCGUGGGGAGCAAACGGG